rnacentral:rRNA from 1 species
UACAGAGGUCUCAAGCGUUGUUCGGAUUCAUUGGGCGUAAAGGGUGCGUAGGCGGCGCAGUAAGUCGGGUGUGAAAUUUCGAGGCUUAACUUCGAAACUGCAUUCGAUACUGCCGUGCUUGAGGACUGGAGAGGAGACUGGAAUUUACGGUGUAGCGGUGAAAUGCGUAGAUAUCGUAAGGAAGACCAGUGGCGAAGGCGGGUCUCUGGACAGUUCCUGACGCUGAGGCACGAAGGCCAGGGGAGCAAAACGGG